ACGAACCGCUGGCGGCAGGCCUAACACAUGCAAGUCGAGCGCACCUUCGGGUGAGCGGCGGACGGGUUAGUAACGCGUGGGAACGUACCCUUUUCUACGGAAUAGCCUUUGGAAACGAAGAGUAAUACCGUAUACGCCCUUUGGGGGAAAGAUUUAUCGGAGAAGGAUCGGCCCGCGUUAGAUUAGAUAGUUGGUGGGGUAACGGCCUACCAAGUCUACGAUCUAUAGCUGGUUUUAGAGGAUGAUCAGCAACACUGGGACUGAGACACGGCCCAGACUCCUACGGGAGGCAGCAGUGGGGAAUCUUAGACAAUGGGCGCAAGCCUGAUCUAGCCAUGCCGCGUGAGUGAUGAAGGCCUUAGGGUCGUAAAGCUCUUUCGCCUGUGAUGAUAAUGACAGUAGCAGGUAAAGAAACCCCGGCUAACUCCGUGCCAGCAGCCGCGGUAAUACGGAGGGGGUUAGCGUUGUUCGGAAUUACUGGGCGUAAAGCGCACGUAGGCGGAUUGGAAAGUUGGGGGUGAAAUCCCGGGGCUCAACCCCGGAACUGCCUCCAAAACUAUCAGUCUAGAGUUCGAGAGAGGUGAGUGGAAUUCCAAGUGUAGAGGUGAAAUUCGUAGAUAUUUGGAGGAACACCAGUGGCGAAGGCGGCUCACUGGCUCGAUACUGA
rnacentral:rRNA from 1 species